rnacentral:rRNA from 1 species
UACAGAGGGGGCAAGCGUUGUUCGGAAUUACUGGGCGUAAAGGGCGCGUAGGCGGCCUUCUAAGUCGAACGUGAAAUCCCCGGGCUCAACCCGGGAACUGCGUCCGAGACUGGAAGGCUCGAAUCCGGGAGAGGGAUGUGGAAUUCCAGGUGUAGCGGUGAAAUGCGUAGAUAUCUGGAGGAACAUCGGUGGCGAAGGCGGCAUCCGUGGACCGGUAUUGACGCUGAGGCGCGAAAGCCAAGGGAGCAAACGGGAGUUAGAA